rnacentral:lncRNA from 12 species
CUAUGUCUCUGGAACCUCCUAAAGAAGCUUCAUGCAAGAACUGUGUUUUAAUGGACAUGUGACUAGCAAAAUACUUCAACACAGUAUUUUGGUCACUGCACUGGCCUUUAGAAGCAUCAGACAUUGUGGAAUGUCAGAAGUAACUUCCUUGACUCUGAAGGAUGGUGACUUUUGGGACUAGAAGAACCAAAGGUAUGUUUGUUCUUAGGGUGCUGGAUCCAAAGGGUCUUUAAGGGCUAGAAGUAAAUAUGAAGGGAAAUUGACUCCAAUAUGAUGUAAGGCAAUGUGCCGCUGCCCAUGGGCAGAAUGCUGAAGCCAUUGGCAGAGUCAUUACACUUGCAGUAAAUGCACAGACAGACCUGUGGCCCUGUCACUGGUAACUACCUCAGCUAGUGUGGGGAUCAGUAUGAAGGUAACUGGUGUUGUGAAGGGGGUAUAAUGA